rnacentral:rRNA from 1 species
CUUAAGUGGGGAAUAACGCAUCGAAAGGUGUGCCAAUACCGCAUAAUCUCUGAGGAGAAAAGCAGGGGAUCGCAAGACCUUGCGCUUUUGGAGCGGCCGAUGUCUGAUUAGCUUGUUGGUGAGGUAAAAGCUUACCAAGGCUUCGAUCAGUAGCUGGUCUGAGAGGACGACCAGCCACACUGGGACUGAGACACGGCCCAGACUCCUACGGGAGGCAGCAGUGGGGAAUUUUGGACAAUGGGGGCAACCCUGAUCCAGCCAUGCCGCGUGAGUGAAGAAGGCCUUCGGGUUGUAAAGCUCUUUCAGCCGGAACGAAACGGUUACGGUUAAUACCCGUGACUACUGACGGUACCGGAAGAAGAAGCACCGGCUAACUACGUGCCAGCAGCCGCGGUAAUACGUAGGGUGCGAGCGUUAAUCGGAAUUACUGGGCGUAAAGCGUGCGCAGGCGGUUUUGUAAGUCAGAUGUGAAAUCCCCGGGCUUAACCUGGGAACUGCGUUUGAAACUACAAGGCUAG